UGAACUGCGCAGUUCUCUGGCAUGCCCGUGGCUCAUCAGUGGCAUGCUUUCCUGAGUCAACAUUGACCCACAGCCUGGCUCAGGGAGGGCCGCUUCAGCCCUGUCCAAGAGGCCAUCGUUUUAGAUGAAACCUCAAGCCAGCAGUCCUGUUCUGCUGGUGUCAUCCUGCUUGGCUUUUCGUCUCCAAGGACAACAUGUGUGGUGGUCCUCAGCAUUGGCUUGGCCAUUCCUCCUGCUCGGGGUGUUCCUCUGUGCUCAGCUUCUCACCUCUCAUCCAGCUCUGGUCUCGUGUGCACUGGUGAAGACCUCAUGAGAAAGAAGCUACAAGGAACCAACAAUCUUUGUGGAGGUGGGAAAAUUGUCCCCAGAGUGUUGGCUGGGCAUGCACCCAAAUUUACCACCUCUGUUGUUGACUUCAAUGAGGCUUCUCCUACAGUAGCCCAGGGAAGCAGACGGAUGAAAGGAGAGGAGUGGCCCCAUCCAGUUCCCUGUGACUCCCUGCCUGGUCCCCUGGGCAUCCCAA